rnacentral:piRNA from 1 species
UGUGAAUUUCUCUUUUGAAAUGCUUCA